rnacentral:rRNA from 1 species
AUACGUAGGAGCGAGCGUUGUCCGGAUUUACUGGGUGUAAAGGGUGCGUAGGCGGCUCUGCAAGUCAGGCGUGAAAUACAUGGGCUUAACCCAUGGACUGCGUUUGAAACUGUGGAGCUUGAGUGAAGUAGAGGUAGGCGGAAUUCCCGGUGUAGCGGUGAAAUGCGUAGAGAUCGGGAGGAACACCAGUGGCGAAGGCGGCCUACUGGGCUUUAGCUGACGCUGAAGCACGAAAGCAUGGGUAGCAAACAGGAUUAGAUACCCUGGUAGUCCAUGCCGUAAACGAUGAUUACUAGGUGUGGGGGGUCUGACCCCUUCCGUGCCGGAGUUAACACAAUAAGUAAUCCACCUGGGGAGUACGGCCGCAAGGUUGA